AUGGAGAGCAGCAAGAAAAUCGAAUCGAGUUUGCUGGAGUUCCCCGGCCACCUCUUGGAGCGGAUAUUCCUCCGGCUGCCCGCCGCAGAGGACCUCGCCCGCACCUCCGCCGCCUGCGUUACCUUCCGCCGCCUCGUCACCGACGGCUCGUUCCUCCGCCGAUUCCGCCGCCUCCACCCACCACCACUCCUCGGCUAUCUCAACCUCGGCGGGUUCCACCCCACUCAGCCGCCUCACCCGUCCGCGCCCGCCGCCCGCUCGCUCGCCCUAGCCACCCGCGCGCUGGCGCUAGCCGCUGACUUCUCCUUUUCGUUCCUGCCUUCGCGCUGCCGAUGGGCCGUCCAGGACGUCCGCGAUGGCCGGGUCCUCCUCUUCGGCAAGCAAACCAUGAUGGCCGAGGGGCCCUCGAUCUCGAUGUUCCCGACCCGGAGCUUGUGGUGUGCGACCCCUUGCACCGGCGGUACAUCCUGCUUCCCCCAGUGCCUGAUGGCCUAG
rnacentral:rRNA from 1 species